UGGGGAAUAUUGGACAAUGGGGGAAACCCUGAUCCAGCGACGCCGCGUGAGUGAAGAAGUAUUUCGGUAUGUAAAGCUCUAUCAGCAGGGAAGAAAAUGACGGUACCUGACUAAGAAGCCCCGGCUAACUACGUGCCAGCAGCCGCGGUAAUACGUAGGGGGCAAGCGUUAUCCGGAUUUACUGGGUGUAAAGGGAGCGCAGACGGCAAUGCAAGUCUGAAGUGAAAGGCGUGGGCUCAACCCAUGAACUGCUUUGGAAACUGUAUAGCUUGAGUGUCGGAGGGGUAAGCGGAAUUCCUAGUGUAGCGGUGAAAUGCGUAGAUAUUAGGAGGAACACCGGAGGCGAAGGCGGCUUACUGGACGACAACUGACGUUGAGGCUCGAAGGCGUGGGGAGCAAACAGGAUUAGAUACCCUGGUAGUCCACGCAGUAAACGAUGAAUACUUGGUGUCGGAGAGGUAAACUCUUCGGUGCCGCAAGCUAACGCAUUAAGUAUUCCACCUGGGGAGUACGUUCGCAAGAAUG
rnacentral:rRNA from 1 species